CAUUGUUGUGGGCGUCUGCCCGUUCCCUAAUCGUAAGUUAUAAAAGGCUUGCCAUGAUGUGCUGUGACGUAACUAGUAUUAAUUGGCUCAUCUUUUCGAAAAUAAUGGAUCCGCCUAUGCCGAUCAUGAGGCCAAAAAGGACUAUUAAGAAAAAAUUGAACUUCAUGUUUUCGAAUUCGGCAUUAUACGGUUAUCAUAAAAAUUGUUGUAAAGUCGAUGUUGUUUAAUGUUAUUUAAUGUUGCAUAGGUAAAAGGAGAGGUUCAGUUGCUGCUGCGACUAAAAAGGUCAUCAAAGCAGCUGGUAAGAACAACUCAACAACAUCGGUGCCAGGUUUCAUUCCACAAAUUCCAAAACCAGUUCAUGCAUUGUCUCAAUUAAUCCAAGGUAGGGCAUUAACAGUGAGAGCGGAGAAUGGAUUGGGGCCAACCACCAACAACAGAGAGAAAACCUCAUCAACAAGAGUACCAGUUUCCGUUCCACAAAUUCAAGGACCAGCUCAUGCAGCAUCAUUGUCUCAAUUAAUCCAAGACCGGGGAAUGAAAAAGAAAAUGGAUUGGGGCCAUCCACCAACAACACAAGGAGAACCUCAUCAACAUCAUUACCAGUUUCUGAUCAAAGAAGGACUAUCCUUUCAGAAGCCGGACUAAAUCGUAUAGGGGCAAGAACCAAACAUACGACUGAACGUUUUAAUGGCGCUGAUUUAAUGCCCAACGGUGGUGUCGACAACUCACACAACCCACUUCAUUCUGAAUUAGGUGAUGCUUCCUUAACCUUUUAAUCGGCUGCAUUUCUUAGUUCUACUCCGUUAAGAGACAGACUUAGCACACCACCUCGCACAGCAGCACCAAUUACCGGAAAUCUCGGUCAAUUACUGCAGGAAAUUAUUAACUUCAUGGCUGAGUCUAACGCUAAACAAGAGCGUUUGAUGAGCAUUGUUACGACGCUUGCCACACAGAAAACAACACAGGCAGUACCACAGGUUGAGGCCGAUGAUAUGAUAGAUUCCUUGGAGCUUCCAUUCAACGAUUUUGAGGAAUUUCUAUCUUUUGACGAGAAACUUAAAAACAGUUCUGGGUUUCGUAAGAAAUUUGUUAAUUACUUAGCCUGCAUGGGGGGAGGCUCGUUGAAAGAGAGCUGUAAGUUCAUUUUAUUCCACACCAUAGACAAAUACGUUUCCCUACGUUACUCGCGUCGAGGAAUGGGAAGACUAAAAAAGCUGCCUUUUGAAAAGACGCAAUUUUAUAAAUGUUUGAAACGUGCAUUGGGGAAAAGACAUCCAGAUAAAAACGAGUUCCAGUUCAAGCCCAUGCAAGAAGCGAUCACCAAUUUCCUUAAAGACGCAAAAGACCGUAAAGGAGGUCGACAAAUGCGUAAUCGAAACAAGAAAAACGUGGCUGAAAAUUCCUCGUCGUCUUCGUCAUCGUUUUCAAGCGAAGAUGAUGACUAAAUCGUUUAUAUGUUCAGUCGUUUAUAUGUUCAGUGUUAACGAGGAGAGUGAAAUAUUUCCUAUCAUAGAAAUCUUUUUCUCUCCUCGUCGUUAAUAAGGAUUGUUUUGUGUUUUUUUUUAUUAGUCAUGGCUGAAGAAGUCGAAAACUUUUUUUCUCAUUUAUCUUCAUUGAAUUUUGUGCAGUUUACUGUUCUACCGAUUAAUAAAGAA